rnacentral:rRNA from 1 species
AGAGUUUGAUCCUGGCUCAGGACGAACGCUGGCGGCGUGCCUAAUACAUGCAAGUCGUGCGGACCUUUUAAAAGCUUGCUUUUAAAAGGUUAGCGGCGGACGGGUGAGUAACACGUGGGCAACCUGCCUGUAAGACCGGGAUAACGCCGGGAAACCGGGGCUAAUACCGGAUAGUUUUUUCCUCCGCAUGGAGGAAAAAGGAAAGGCGGCUUCGGCUGCCACUUACAGAUGGGCCCGCGGCGCAUUAGCUAGUUGGCGGGGUAACGGCCCACCAAGGCAACGAUGCGUAGCCGACCUGAGGGGGUGAUCGGCCACAUUGGGACUGAGACACGGCCCAAACUCCUACGGGAGGCAGCAGUAGGGAAUCUUCCGCAAUGGACGAAAGUCUGACGGAGCAACGCCGCGUGAGUGAAGAAGGCCUUCGGGUCGUAAAACUCUGUUGCCGGGGAAGAACAAGUGCCGUUCGAACAGGGCGGCGCCUUGACGGUACCCGGCCAGAA